GUCCCAGUAGCGCAAUGGAUAGCGCUUUGGGCUCCAAAUCCAAAGACAGAGGGUUCACAUCCCUCCUGGUAUG